rnacentral:rRNA from 1 species
CGCUGAGUUUGAUCCUGGCUCAGGAUGAACGCUAGCGGCAGGCUUAACACAUGCAAGUCGAGGAGUAUAGUUCUUCGGAACUAGAGACCGGCGCACGGGUGCGUAACGUGUAUGCAAUCUACCUUUUACAGAUGGAUAGCCCAGAGAAAUUUGGAUUAAUACCUCAUAGUAUGUGAGAAUCGCAUGGUUUUUCACAUUAAAGUCACAACGGUAAAAGAUGAGCAUGCGUCCCAUUAGCUUGUUGGUAAGGUAACGGCUUACCAAGGCAACGAUGGGUAGGGGUCCUGAGAGGGACGAUCCCCCACACUGGUACUGAGACACGGACCAGACUCUACGGGGAGCAGCAGUGAGGAAUAUUGGACAAUGGGGCGCAAGCCCUGAUCCCAGCCA